UCUGUUUUAGUUACUUAUUCCUGCAUAACAUUGCAUAACAAAUUGCCCUCAAACUUAGAUGCUUAAAAUAAGAAUUAGCAUUUAUUAUCUCAUACAGUUCCUGUGGGUCAGGAAUUCGAGAGUGGAUUAGCCGGUUGGCUCUGCUUCAGGAUCUCAUGUGAGUUCACAGUCAAGCUGUUGACGGGGGCUCCAGUCAUCUGAAGGCUUGACAGGGACUGGAGGAUCCACUUCCAAGUUGCUGCUGGCUGUUGUCAGGAAGCCUCAGUUCUUCCUUAUGUGGACUUCUCCACAGGACUGCUGAGUGGCCUCAUAACAUUGCAGCUGGCUUUCCUCAGAGCAAGUGAUCUACUAGAGGGUUCAGCUUGGAAGUCCAGAAGGGCCUAGUGACUCCUUUACGGGCAGAAUCCAGUUUUCAGAGACUUGUGAAGUUGCGGCAUCCAAUCACUGUGCGUGUCUGUGUUUUCCUCAUCGUUCGCUUCAGAAAAUAUUCUCUCCCUUCCAUUUAAAAAUAUUUAGUCCUAAAAACAAAAGUAAUGUAGGUUCAUUGUGGAAGAUUUAGAAAACAUAGGAAUGCACCCAGAAGAAACUAAAACUCACCAAUUAUCUUACCACCGAGAGAUCAUGCCAUUAAUUUGGUGGAGAAUAGCUGCCAGUCCGUUCUGUAUUCCUUUACGGAAUGUAAAUUCCAAGAGGACAGGGACCUUGUUCACGUCUUGGCUAAUGCUUUGCACAGUAGAUGUGCAGGAGGUAUUCGUUGGCUGAACGAAUAAUAGCUAUGUGUGCAUAAUUUGAAUUGAAUUAGGUUGUC